UACGGGGGGGGCAAGCGUUGUUCGGAAUUACUGGGCGUAAAGGGCUCGUAGGUGGCCAACUAAGUCGGACGUGAAAUCCCUCAGCUUAACUGGGGAACUGCGUCCGAUACUGGAUGGCUUGAGUUUGGGAGAGGGAUGCGGAAUUCCAGGUGUAGCGGUGAAAUGCGUAGAUAUCUGGAGGAACACCGGUGGCGAAGGCGGCAUCCUGGACCAACACUGACACUGAGGAGCGAAAGCCAGGGGAGCGAACGGG
rnacentral:rRNA from 1 species